CCGGUUCGGUUGAAGAGAAAAAAUCCUGAAAUUCAGGGUUGACUCUGAAAGAGGAAAGCGUAAUAUACGCCACCUCGCGACAGUGAGCUGAAAGCCGCGUCGCAACUGCUCUUUAACAAUUUAUCAGACAAUCUGUGUGNGGGAUAACUACUGGAAACGGUAGCUAAUACCGCAUAACGUCGCAAGACCAAAGAGGGGGACCUUCGGGCCUCUUGCCAUCGGAUGUGCCCAGAUGGGAUUAGCUAGUAGGUGGGGUAACGGCUCACCUAGGCGACGAUCCCUAGCUGGUCUGAGAGGAUGACCAGCCACACUGGAACUGAGACACGGUCCAGACUCCUACGGGAGGCAGCAGUGGGGAAUAUUGCACAAUGGGCGCAAGCCUGAUGCAGCCAUGCCGCGUGUAUGAAGAAGGCCUUCGGGUUGUAAAGUACUUUCAGCGGGGAGGAAGGGAGUAAAGUUAAUACCUUUGCUCAUUGACGUUACCCGCAGAAGAAGCACCGGCUAACUCCGUGCCAGCAGCCGCGGUAAUACGGAGGGUGCAAGCGUUAAUCGGAAUUACUGGGCGUAAAGCGCACGCAGGCGGUUUGUUAAGUCAGAUGUGAAAUCCCCGGGCUCAACCUGGGAACUGCAUCUGAUACUGGCAAGCUUGAGUCUCGUAGAGGGGGGUAGAAUUCCAGGUGUAGCGGUGAAAUGCGUAGAGAUCUGGAGGAAUACCGGUGGCGAAGGCGGCCCCCUGGACGAAGACUGACGCUCAGGUGCGAAAGCGUGGGGAGCAAACAGGAUUAGAUCCCCUGGUAGUCCACGCCGUAAACGAUGUCGACUUGGAGGUUGUGCCCUUGAGGCGUGGCUUCCGGAGCUAACGCGUUAAGUCGACCGCCUGGGGAGUACGGCCGCAAGGUUAAAACUCAAAUGAAUUGACGGGGGCCCGCACAAGCGGUGGAGCAUGUGGUUUAAUUCGAUGCAACGCGAAGAACCUUACCUGGUCUUGACAUCCACNGUGAGACAGGUGCUGCAUGGCUGUCGUCAGCUCGUGUUGUGAAAUGUUGGGUUAAGUCCCGCAACGAGCGCAACCCUUAUCCUUUGUUGCCAGCGGUCCGGCCGGGAACUCAAAGGAGACUGCCAGUGAUAAACUGGAGGAAGGUGGGGAUGACGUCAAGUCAUCAUGGCCCUUACGACCAGGGCUACACACGUGCUACAAUGGCGCAUACAAAGAGAAGCGACCUCGCGAGAGCAAGCGGACCUCAUAAAGUGCGUCGUAGUCCGGAUUGGAGUCUGCAACUCGAUUCCAUGAAGUCGGAAUCGCUAGUAAUCGUGGAUCAGAAUGCCACGGUGAAUACGUUCCCGGGCCUUGUACACACCGCCCGUCACACCAUGGGAGUGGGUUGCAAAAGAAGUAGGUAGCUUAACCUUCGGGAGGGCGCUUACCACUUUGUGAUUCAUGACUGGGGUGAAGUCGUAACAAGGUAACCGUAGGGGAACCUGCGGUUG
rnacentral:rRNA from 1 species